rnacentral:rRNA from 1 species
CCUACGGGAGGCAGCAGUGAGGAAUAUUGGUCAAUGGCCGAGAGGCUGAACCAGCCAAGUCGCGUUAGGGAAGACGGCCCUACGGGUUGUAAACUGCUUUUAUACGGAACUAACGCGCCUUCCGUGUAGGACUUUUCAUGUCCCGUAUGAAUAAGGACCGGCUAAUUCCGUGCCCGCAGCCGCGGUCAUACGGAAGGUCCGGGCGUUAUCCGGAUUUAUUGGGUUUAAAGGGAGCGUAGGCCGCAUGUCAAGCGUGCUGUGAAAUGUCCGGGCUCAACCCGGGCCUUGCAGCGCGAACUGGCGUGCUUGAGUCCGCGGAAAGCAGGCGGAAUUCGUCGUGGAGCGGUGAAAUGCUUAGAUAUGACGAAGAACCCCGAUUGCGAAGGCAGCUUGCUGCAGCGGAACUGACGCUGAUGCUCGAAAGCGCGGGUAUCGAACAGGAUUAGAUACCCCAGUAGUC